ACGGAGGGGGCUAGCGUUGUUCGGAAUUACUGGGCGUAAAGCGCACGUAGGCGGAUUGGUCAGUCAGAGGUGAAAGCCCGAAGCUCAACUUCGGAACUGCCUUUGAUACUGCCAAUCUAGAGUCCGGGAGAGGUGAGUGGAAUUCCUAGUGUAGAGGUGAAAUUCGUAGAUAUUAGGAAGAACACCAGUGGCGAAGGCGGCUCACUGGCCCGGUACUGACGCUGAGGUGCGAAAGCGUGGGGAGCAAACAGG
rnacentral:rRNA from 1 species